GGUAUGCUUAACACAUGCAAGUCGAACGGAAACGAUACUAGCUUGCUAGUAGGCGUCGAGUGGCGGACGGGUGAGUAACGCGUAGGAAUCUACCUGAUAGUGGGGGAUAGCCCGAAGAAAUUCGGAUUAAUACCGCAUAAUCUAUUCGUAGUAAAGUGGGGGACUUUCGAGCCUCACGCUAUCAGAUGAGCCUGCGUAAGAUUAGCUAGUUGGUAGGGUAAAAGCCUACCAAGGCGACGAUCUUUAGCUGGUCUGAGAGGAUGAUCAGCCACAUCGGGACUGAGACACGGCCCGAACUCCUACGGGAGGCAGCAGUGGGGAAUAUUGGACAAUGGGGGCAACCCUGAUCCAGCAAUACCGCGUGUGUGAAGAAGGCCUGAGGGUUGUAAAGCACUUUCAAUUGUGAAGAAAAGCUAGUGGUUAAUAGCCAUUAGCCUUGACGUUAACUUAGAAGAAGCACCGGC
rnacentral:rRNA from 1 species